UACGUAGGUGGCAAGCGUUGUCCGGAUUUAUUGGGUUUAAAGGGUGCGUAGGCGGCUUUGUAAGUCAGUGGUGAAAUAUGGCAGCUUAACUGUCAAGGUGCCAUUGAUACUGCGGAGCUUGAGUACAGAUGAGGUAGGCGGAAUUGACGGUGUAGCGGUGAAAUGCUUAGAUAUCGUCAAGAACACCUGUAGCGAAGGCAGCUUACUAGGCUGUAACUGACGCUGAGGCACGAAAGUGUGGGGAUCAAACAGG
rnacentral:rRNA from 1 species